rnacentral:lncRNA from 1 species
GACUGUGCAUCUUUUGAAAAACCUUAAACCUUGGGGUACACUUUCUGGAGUUGGAAACCACUGAUCCAGACCCCUGCAGGCUAGAACUCCUGCCCUAUUUCUCCUGGGGGCAUGUGCUGUCUUUCCAUGUCAGGGAAGAAACACAGAAGCUGUCAUUGUCCCCCACAUCAGGUGUAACGCCUAACUCUGCCUCCCACACCCCUCUUUCUUUGCACCCCACUUCCUCAUCCCAUAAACUUCUCUGUGUACUAGAAUCAUCUAUGGAUGAGAAUUUAGUAUCUCAGUCCUACUCAUGACUCAACAUGAGAGUCGUGGCC